rnacentral:rRNA from 1 species
CCUACGGGGGGCUGCAGUGGGGAAUAUUGGUCAAUGGGGGGAACCCUGAUCCAGCCAUGCCGCGUGUGUGAAGAAGGCCCUCGGGUUGUAAAGCACUUUCAGUGAGGAAGAACGCCUGGUGGUUAAUACCCAUCAGGAAAGACAUCACUCACAGAAGAAGCACCGGCUAACUCCGUGCCAGCAGCCGCGGUAAUACGGAGGGUGCGAGCGUUAAUCGGAAUUACUGGGCGUAAAGCGCGCGUAGGUGGCUUGAUAAGCCGGUUGUGAAAGCCCCGGGCUCAACCUGGGAACGGCAUCCGGAACUGUCAAGCUAGAGUGCAGGAGAGGAAGGUAGAAUUCCCGGUGUAGCGGUGAAAUGCGUAGAGAUCGGGAGGAAUACCAGUGGCGAAGGCGGCCUUCUGGACUGACACUGACACUGAGGUGCGAAAGCGUGGGUAGCAAACAGGAUUAGAUACCCCAGUAGUC